rnacentral:rRNA from 1 species
UACGAAGGGGGCUAGCGUUGCUCGGAAUUACUGGGCGUAAAGGGCUCGUAGGCGGCCAACUAAGUCAUACGUGAAAUCCCUCAGCUUAACUGGGGAACUGCGUCUGAUACUGGAUGGCUUGAGUUUGGGAGAGGGAUGCGGAAUUCCAGGUGUAGCGGUGAAAUGCGUAGAUAUCUGGAGGAACACCGGUGGCGAAGGCGGCAUCCUGGACCAACACUGACACUGAGGAGCGAAAGCCAGGGGAGCAAACGGG